AUGUGAGGGUGAUCUGGCUGGGACAUCUGGCACCCCACUGAUCACCAGGGUUGAUUUAGCUGAUUUGGCUGGCGAGGUGGCAUCCCCUUCCUCCCUCACCACUCCUUGUGCAUUCUUCCCCAAGCUGCAUGCUCCAUCGAAGAGGACGGCCACCCCCAUACAGGAGGACUGAGGACCACUCCCCCCAUCGAGAGUAUACAAGUAGCUGCGCUCCCCUGCAAACAAGCACUCAAGAAAUACCAACACCCAAGCAUCAUGAAAAAUAGGGACUUACAUCUCUAUACAGAGAAAU
rnacentral:snRNA from 1 species